GCCAGUGUAGCUCAGUUGGCAGAGCAGCUGAUUUGUAAUCAGCAGGUCGUGGGUUCGAGUCCCUCCGCUGGCU
rnacentral:tRNA from 1 species